GCUAAUCCUGGCGAUCAAUGUUCUAGCAUGAAUUAAUUGAGGCAAGCAGAUCAGAGAUGUCAAGGAUGGCCAGCCACACAGGAGCAUGAUAUUUACAAAGGAGGAGAAGGAGGCCGUGCUGACCGAGAUGCAUGCUGGCCAUUUCAGAGUGAAGCGCAUGAUUGCCAAAAUCAACCUACACGUUUUUUUGACGGGGAAUUGUCGAGGAGUUGGACAGCUGUGUCAGUACCCUGUUUAGCCUACCAGAAGUUUGAGAGGGUGAAGACUGUGGCGCUGGAGUUGAAGCCCAUCAAAGUUGUUUCACCAUGGCACAUAAACGAGGACCUGAGCCCUAGGACCAAGCCUCAGGACUACCUGGCCUGAUGACUCCUUGCUGUCCCCAGUCCACCUGGUCAUGCUGCUGCUCCAGUUUCAACUGUUUUGCCUGCAGCUAUGGAACCCUGACCUGUUGACUGGACGUGCUACCUGUCCCAGGCCUGAUGAGUGGACCUCAUCGAACCCUUCACGAAAUCCACGAGUGGCAACAGCUGGUGUCUGAUCAUACCCAUUAAGUACGAGACAAGUACGAGACCAUCAAGUACGAGACCAAGGCAAUAGUGGACAUCUUCAACACCCACGGUUCUCCUGAGGUCAUUUUGAAUGACCGAGGUCAUGAAUGCUGGAACAAGGUUUGGUGAAUGACCAACCAGACCCUCAAGACUGCCAUGGGCAAGUCUCUUGAUUGGUAUCAGGAAGGGUGGGAGAACAACCUGAAGGUAAUUCUCUUUGCACACAACAGCAGCAUCCAGGCUGAGUAUGGACAGGAGCCGCAGCUGUUGACUGAGAUCACUGAAACCCCACCUGAUGUGGUGGAAGUUGUCGAACCAGAUCAGAACGCCGUUGAGUACUACCUUCAGGCACAGACUGAGAAGGACGUGGAGGUUUUUGACCAGGUAAAAAUGAUUGUCCUCUGUUAAUUUAUUUUCUGUCCCUCCAAGAGAUAUGUAAGAAAUGUAUUUGUAAUAUGAAAUAUAAUUGCAUGUAUUCCUGUCAUCAAUCAAGGUGAGACUGAACAUGGACAAUAUGGACAGUAAUAUGGACUGAACAUGGACAGUAAC
ensembl:lncRNA